rnacentral:lncRNA from 1 species
AUUGAUUUAAAUCAAUUCAUUGACUACAUAAUUAUGUUACAACACAUUGUAAAUUAGCUAGGUACCUGUCUAAUUGAAAAUUAGGUAGGUACCUGUCUAAUUGUAAAUUAGGUAGGUACCAGUCUAAUUGUAAAUUAGGUAGGUACCAGUCUAGUUGUGAAUUACCUUGAUUAUACUCUAAAGGAAUACACACUAUAAAUAUGUAAUGAUUAACAUUGUGAGACAAUCUGAUUGAAGUGCACAUUUAGUGUUGACGCUUCUCUCUGUUCUGAAGAUCUUUUCAAUGUUGUCUUGAUUUACCCUUAGGAAAAAUAUUUUUAAAAUUUCGAGGCAGGAAUUUCAUUCUGCAAUGAUCAUUAAAACAGAAAGUAGAAGGUGAGCAUGGACCCCAAAUCUGUAUUUCAAUCCUAAUGUUCAUGUGACAGUCAUGUGAUCGUUAUUUUUUAGAAAUCUAAUAUUACAGAUGAUCGCAUGAUUGUUAAAAUUGUGUCAAGAUAUCCAUGGAACUAUGUGUUUCCCCUUAAUUGCUAUAGUCGAAGAAAAGUGUAAUGUUGACUUCCAAAAAUGAAGUCCAUUUAUAAAAACAUACAUCCAUAAAUUCAGAUGCUAUUUCUUGAUUGUAAGAACAUUAUAACCACAACACUGUGGAGGAUGAAAUGUAGGAUAUCUUUAUAUCUGGCUUCUGCUUCUUUUGUUUAUCAAACAAAUAUAUAAAUCAGAAUUCAGAACAUGAACUUAAGAAUCAGUCCUGUAAAUUCAGAAAUUAUUGCGAAAAAUGAGACAGGGUUAUAAUUGCAAUUAUUUACACUCGCAUUUAUUUGAAUUAAACAGGAUUUUUCUCAAUGUCUUAUAAAUUACAAUUGCAUUCUAGUUUUAAAUGUUAAAAUCGCAAUAACAAACGCUCGCAAUAAUUUCUGAAUUUACAGUAUAUAAGCAUAUUUUGAAUGAAUAUAUAAAUGUAUAUGUAAACAUUUUUGAAUUGAUAUAUAAUACAAUAUUCAAGAGUCCAUAAAUCCUUUUCAAUUGUAUUUCUAUUACUAAAGUUUUCAAUCCUGGGCAAAAUACACAAUAAUAUGAAAUGAUCCUUAGCUAUGUGUUUCAAAUGAAGAGAUUUUCCAAUCGAUAUAUGAAUUAUUGUAGAAUCAUUUCUUUUCUUGGGAACCAAUUUUCAAGGAUUGAAAAAAAAUAAAAUGUUUGAGAUAUUUCAUUUCAUGAUUUUGUUAAAGUCAGCAUACAAAGCCUAAAAAAAUAUGUAUUGCUGAACGUUUACAUUUGCAGUUUACAUACAUGUGUAACAAUGAAAUCUACAAAAUUUGGUACCCCAAAAAAUAUAUUGAAUCAACAGUAAUCAUCCUCAUGAUUAAUAGUAGAAAUGGUUAAUUAUGCUAAUAAUGUAAUACAACUGUAAUGAAAAAA